rnacentral:rRNA from 1 species
CGGAACGGGUGAGUAACGCGUGAGGAACCUGCCUCAAAGAGGGGACGAACAGUUGGAAACGACUGCUAAUACCGCAUAAGCCCACGGCUCGGCAUCGAGCAGAGGGAAAAGGAGUGAUCCGCUUUGAGAUGGCCUCGCGUCCGAUUAGCUAGUUGGUGAGGUAACGGCCCACCAAGGCGACGAUCGGUAGCCGGACUGAGAGGUUGAACGGCCACAUUGGGACUGAGACACGGCCCAG